rfam:Sorghum bicolor cultivar BTx623 chromosome 6, whole genome shotgun sequence.
AUUCCAUGAUGGGGACAUUCUAGGAUGUAGUCUUGAAAGCGCUCACAUGCUUCUGGAACAGAUUCAUCAGUUUGUUGCUGAAAACUUGUAAUCUUCCCACGGAGAGC